AAUGAACGCUGGCGGCAUGCCUAACACAUGCAAGUCGAACGGGAAACUCGGGACACGGUGUUUCCAGUGGCGGACGGGGGAGUAACGUGCAAGAACCUGCCCUUGGGAGGGGAACAACAGCUGGAAACGGCGGCUAAUAUCCCGGAGGCAGAGGAGCAAAGGGAGGAGUCCGCCCGAGGGGGGGAUCGCGUCUGAUUAGCUAGUUGGUGAAGCAAUAGCUUACCAAGGCGAUGAUCAGUAGCGGGUCCGAGAGGAAGAUCAGCCACACUGGGACUGGGACACGCCGCAGACACCUCCGGGGGGCGGCGGUGUGGAGGGUACCGCAAUGGGCGAGAGCCUGAGAUAGCGCUGCGGCGUGGAAGUAGUAGGGCCACGGGUGGUGUACAUCUUUUCUCGGCGAAGAGGUAAUGACGGUACCUGGAGAAUAAGCACCGGCUAACUCCGUG
rnacentral:rRNA from 1 species